rnacentral:rRNA from 1 species
AUUGAACGCUGGCGGCAGGCCUAACACAUGCAAGUCGAACGAGUGGCGUACGGGUGAGUAAUGUCUGGGAAACUGCCUGAUGGAGGGGGCUAACUACUGGAAACGGUAGCUACUACCGCAUACCAUCGGAUGUGCCCCGAUGGGAUUAGCUAGUAGGUGGGGUAAAGGCUAACCUAGGCGACGAUCCCUCUCUGGUCUGAGAGGAUGACCAGCCACACGGGAACUGAGACACGGUCCAGACUCCUACGGGAGGCAGCAGUGGGGAAUAGUGCACAAUGGGCGCAAGCCUGAUGCAGCCAUGGCGCGUGUAGGAAGAAGGCCUUCGGGUGGUAAAGUACGGUCAGCGGGGAGGCGUUACCAGCAGAAGAAGCACCGGCUAACUCCGUGCCAGCAGCCGCGGUAAUUC